AUGGAUUGUAAGCCUGUGGAAACGGGCUCCAGAGAUGCCCUGCGCCUCCAGGGAGGAGCCCCUGGCUCUGCGGCAGGUUUUCAGGCCAGCAUAUGGGGCGCCGCCCAGGUACCCUUCACCUGUCGGGCUCGGGCACCCGGCCUCCCUCCCCCGCCCCACUCCCGCCCGCGGUGCCUGGAGCCGGACGCCCUGUAUGGGUGGGGCUCCGUCAGCAACGCCGGUUACCGCGGGCCGGACCGGGCCUGGCGCUCUCCGGUCCCUGCACAGGAUCGAGAAGGAAGGAGCUCCUCCCCAGCGCCCCCUCCUAGGCUCAAGGCCAUGACCUCACAGGCGAGGAAGCAAAAUGGAGGGGCCCUCACAGACACAGUGGACUGGACAAGGGAAGCCCCAGACUGACCCUGUGAUGAGCAUGUGGAAGUCGCAGAAACCACAGCCAACAGUGGGGCAGGAAGGAAGUGCCAGCAGGCAGGUACUAGGCUGGAAGAUCAGGAGCCACACCUUGGCACUCACAGGGCCCUUUCUGCAAGUCUUAGAGUGA